rnacentral:rRNA from 1 species
UGGGGAAUAUUGCGCAAUGGGGGAAACCCUGACGCAGCGACGCCGCGUGUGGGAAGAAGGCCUUCGGGUCGUAAACCACUGUCAAGAGGGAAGAACCGCAUGAGGGCAAAUAGGCCUCGUGCCUGACGGUACCUCUGGAGGAAGCACCGGCUAACUCCGUGCCAGCAGCCGCGGUAAUACGGAGGGUGCAAGCGUUAAUCGGAAUCACUGGGCGUAAAGCUCACGUAGGCUGUAGUGUAAGUCAGACGUGAAAUCCCUUGGCUUAACUGAGGAACUGCGUUUGAAACUGCACAACUCGAGUGCUGGAGAGGGUGGCGGAAUUCCCGGUGUAGGAGUGAAAUCCGUAGAUAUCGGGAGGAACACCAGUGGCGAAGGCGGCCACCUGGACAGACACUGACGCUGAGGUGCGAAAGCGUGGGUAGCAAACA